GUUCAAGUUCACAACUCUGUUGGGAUUCAUAACGUAGCGGUCAUGCAUUUGUGACAAGUCUUGGAAAGUCCCCAGAGCCCCCUGAGCUCCAACCCUCCACAGCAGCAGCUAUGAUCAUCAGACUGGGCAGACUGACUCCUGGAUACUUCCGCCUUCUCCAGAGGCAAGUUGCGGGUGAGAUCCAGACCCAGCCGCAGGACCGCGCUGUCAAUCAGAUCGCCAUGAUGCUGGCCAUCAUGGGGCUGAGCCUGUCCUACUACAGUGCCAAACAGAUGACCGAGAAGGUGCAGGCCCAGCAGCCCUGAACACAAUGUUCGCCUUAAACGGAUGAGCAAGUCAUAAGUGAAGGAGCGGAGAUGUGGAAGAGAUCAUCGGAAGUGUAAUGGCGGACUGCACUUUCUACUUCCUCCACAGUCAACUAUCAAAGCAUCCUCACUAUACGCAGAUUUCUGAACUGCUGUUGCUGCUGUUAGCGUUUUCCCUAUGUUUCUCUUGUCAGGACUUCAAGGGAUGUGUGGGGAUUUGGCACGCUCGCCAGGUUUGGGUGCCUGGUUUAGUUCGAGGCAAUUCAAAAAUGUAUGAUCUAAGCCCAUCUACUCUCAACUGGGUCAGUGCAUUAGUUGUUUCUAAAGUUCAAGAUACUGCGAAUACUGUUCCGAUCUGAAAAAGGGGCAAAUUUAGAUUUUACUGUGAAUUUUUAAAAAAGAUGAACAGUCAUUCGCUUUUCGACCUUGAGACGAAGUGGUGCCAAGUCCAGGAAGUAUUAGAUGAACCCUUUUUUAGUUUUAUUUUUCCCUAAGUAGGAAAACAUUGCAGCACUGUCUGAACAGAGCUAUACUGUCUAAAAUGUUUAUUGUGUAUUGUAAUGUUUGAAUUUAUUUGCACAUAUGUCAUUGUUCAUGUUGGAUCACUCGUCAAACAGACUUCAACGACUCACUACCUACUUUCUUUUGUUCACAUGUUGUAUAUCUGCUCGGCAGUUUGUAACUAUUUUAUCACCGUAAUGUUUUUUUGUUUUUUUGCCUUAGUUGGCUGCCUUUUUUGAAAACAUUCAACAUUGCAUGGGUGUGCUAACUUUUUAUCCUUUUGAAUCUCUUCUGUUUUUAUUACUGAUGAUGGAUGAAUGUAAUGACUUUUGUAAUUAUUAAAUAAAGCUGUGAAUUGA